CCUGAAGACGCAGGAAUGCACAAAAAAUUUAAAAUGAAAGAACUUUUACCAUUCACCAGCCCCUAUCCAUACCAGUCUUUUACCUGGGAGUCAGAGUUAGACAACCUGAACAGUGAAAAAUCUCGUGUCUCUUGGCAUUUGCCUUCUUAUUUCAAAUCCUGGCCAGAAAUCGACGAAACGAAAACUACAUUACAGCUACCUCCUACUACCUUGCCGUAUUCCAAAGAAAGAAUUACUUCUGGUCCGUCAGACUACAUGGGCUCAGAGAGAUCACAACCUGAGCACAGUGACGAUGAAACUUGUCCAGAUGUCAAAUCAGAAGCUUAUCAGAAAAACUACAGUGUCACACUUUUUAAGUCAGUGACCCCUUCUCAGAAGGAAGUGCUAAGAAAGGUACAAAAAAUCAAACAAGAGCCAUCGUGGGAUAGCAAUCCUGAAUGGUGUGAGUUACAGAAGCAGACAGAGUACAAAAAACCCCAAGCAGCUACGUUUGUUGAAGCAGAAGACUUGGUGUCAAGAAAUAACUGUUUGAAAGCAAUUAAAUUGGAAAUUGAGAGAGAAGGACGUUUAAUGUCUGGUGAAAUUCAACCAUCAUCUGAAGGUGUAGAUGUGAGCAAAGAGCUAAACCAACUUAAUUCCUUGGUUCAUAUUUAUCAUCUGCAAGAAGAAGCACAAGAGAAGAUCAUGUCUAAAGUUGAAAGCAUCAUCUUAAAGUACUGUGAUUAUCUGGCUAAGACCACUUUGAAACAUCAAAAUGAAAGAAAGGAGUUUGAAAAAGAAAAACGUAUCAACAUGGAAAAACGUAUCGAACUACAAACCAUCAACAGAAUUUUAAAUAAAGAGCUUCAGGUUUUAAAAACCCAAUACCAGAGUCCAAGAGAAAACAAUAAAAUUGAUAAGAGGAAUGUGAGUAAACAAAGCUAUAAGGAAGCAAACGUGAAACUUUGCUUUUGUAGAGAUUAUUAUACUAUCGCAAGCCAAAACAAAGCACUUCAGGAAAAGUUGGUGACAUUACAGCAGGAAGUUAUGCAAAUGAAGGAAAAUCAUAUGCCCAAAGCAUUGCACAUGGCCAGUAACCAGGGUAAUGAAAUUGAACCUCUUACUCCCGAGUCUGAAGUAGAAAGUUUUGCCGUGAGAAACAAAUCACCACAAGGGGAAGAAUCAGACAUUAUGCCCAGUGACAAAGAUUGAAGUGCGUCAAGAUACAGUGCAAUGGAAUCUUUAUUAAACAGGGUACAGGGUAGUAGGAAAAAAGCAGCUAGACACCUGACUUGUAUUGAAUAAUGAAAGUAGAAGAUUUAUUCUUAACUUACAUCAGCCGGAGAUUUACAAAUGUCGUGUUAUUUCAGCCAUAAAAUAAAAUCUCGGAUAAAGGGAAUCCUUCCAUUUGUUAUGUUAUUAUACCUGUCCAAACCAGAACUCUGUCCUCAAAAGUUUGAACUUGGUGUUCUUGGCAUGUGUUCACAUUAUAACUGUGGUUAUAAUUUAAUGUGCUUGCACAAAAUUUUACUUCAGUAUUUUACAGACAAAGGUAAAAAAAAUCUGUUUCCAAAGUAUUCUUUGCUGUUUAAGGUUCCUUGGCUGAAGAUUAACAUGUAAACUGUGUUUUGUAGCUCACAUACUUGGCAUUGGGAUGUUAAAGGAAAGGAGUUAAACAUUGAAAAAAAAAACAUGUAAGCAUUGUGACAUAGAUGUAUUAAUGUAAAUAUAGUUAUGGCACUACGUUUGACUUUUUCACCUUGCCAUACAGCUUAGAGAAAUCCUGUUUAACAAGCUACACAGAAAGAUUGUGUAAGACUUUAACAAGCUACACAGAAAGAUGGUGUAAGACUUUAACAAGCUACACAAAAAAGUUAUGUAGGACUUUAACAAGAUGCACAGACAAGCUAUGUAAGACUUUAACAAGCUACACAAACUGUAAAAUAGUAAGCUUCAUGUCACUGAACAAGUGUGCUUUCUAUGUAUUAAAAUUUGAGGUUUCAUGGAAAACAAUAUGUAUGAAUACUUGUAUUUUAACAACUCAUUCUUAUAACAAAUGUUCAAGUGUGUGAAGUCCCCUUUCAUUUUAGAAAAACUAAACAUCACAAGUUAUGUUAUGAAACCGGAUUUUCUUAUACCAUGUUUUAUUGUUCAGUAUGUCAAUAGACAACUCUGUAAACGUUACAUGUUAUGAAUCCAGUUUUUCUCAUACCAUAUUUUAUUGUCCAAUAUGUCACCAGACAACGCUGGUUGGCAGCCAUUUGGAUCCAAUAAAAUCCUUAGUCAUUUAUAUUCCACCCCAACAUACUUUCAUUUAAAUGUUUAGUUUUUGUUUUUAAUUUUUGAUGCCAAAAAAGGGCAAGAACCAUGAGAUAUUAUUAAAGUUGUGUAUAAAGCAGUAUUCCCUUAUUGCCUUUGUAACUCAAGUUUUGUUUAAGAGUCUCUUAAUCAAAUCUUUAAUGUGUGUUUGGUCAGUAGAACUGUACUUCAAGUAAGCAUUACUCGAAAAAUUAAUGUUACUCUUAGCCAAGCCAGUAAUCUGUCCGGAAAUAUUUUGUUUGUAGUCAGAAUUGUAUGGCCGAAGAUUAGUUUUUCAUUACCUAUUACUGUACCCAAAUUUACUACUUGUUUUGAUUAUGCAUGUAUAUGACCUUUGGCUAAUGGAUUCACAUCUCGAUCUCUGAAAUGCAUAAGAUUUUAUUGUUUUUGUCAUUGAUGGUAUCCUCUUACUUACUACUUUUAAGACAACUUAUGCCUGUGUGAUAUGUCUCAUUGGUUAAAAUACCAGAAGCUUCCAUUAACGGAAUUGUUUAAAUAAUUUACUACAAAGUUGUUCAAAGUUAUCUUUCUAAAGUUGUAUGCUAGUUCUUUUCAAUUCUCACCGAUUUACACAAAUUAAUGUACGAGAAUAUGCGAGGAGUCCAUAAGCUUAGCAAACAGGCUUUCAAAGGACCGACAAGCAUUGGUGCUGCACUUCAAAUAUUUUUCAUACAGAAGAGAUGUGUGAAGCAACUAGCUUUUGGGCUACUAUGUAUGUGAAACCUAGUGAUUAGUGUAGAAAUGGUUAAAAAUUGCAUUACGUUAAGAGCUUACAUUCUUUUCUACACCGAAGUUAACUAUAAGUCAGAAAUGUAAAGAGCCUACAUUAUAGUCUCAGACAUUCCCUCGUUUUUUAUAAAUCAGGUUAACAAUAAGUCAGAAAGAAUUGUUAAGAGCCUACGUUAUAGUCUCAGACAUUUCCUUUGUUUUAUAGAUCAGGUUAACAAUAAGUCAGAAAGAAUUGUUAAGAGCCUACGUUAUAGUCUCAGACAUUUCCUUUGUUUUAUAGAUCAGGUUAACAAUAAGUAGAAAGAAUUGUUAAGAGCUUACAUUAUAGUCUCAGACAUUCCCUCGUUUUUUAUAAAUCAGGUUAACAAUAAGUCAGAAAGAAUUGUUAAGAGCCUACGUUAUAGUCUCAGACAUUUCCUUUGUUUUAUAGAUCAGGUUAACAAUAAGUCAGAAAGAAUUGUUAAGAGCCUACGUUAUAGUCUGAGACAUUUCCUUUGUUUUAUAGAUCAGGUUAACAAUAAGUCAGAAAGAAUUGUUAAGAGCCUACGUUAUAGUCUGAGACAUUUCCUUUGUUUUAUAGAUCAGGUUAACUAUAAGUCAGAAAGAGUUGUUAAGUGCCUACGUUAUAGUCUGAGACAUUUCCUUUGUUUUAUAGAUCAGGUUAACAAUAAGUCAGAAAGAAUUGUUAAGAGCCUACGUUAUAGUCUGAGACAUUUCCUUUGUUUAAUAGAUCAGGUUAACAAUAAGUCAGAAAGAAUUGUUAAAAGCAAACAUUAUAGUUUCAAACAUUUCCUUUGUUUUUAUACAUUGAGAUUAACAGUAAGCCAGAACUACUACUUCAGAGUGAAUGAAUUGUGGAAGUUUUUGAAAACUGUAAGGGCUGAUUUUUUAUGGUCGUUUAGACAGGUAACACCACUGACUAAAUCAUAUAGAGAAAGAGAACAGCUAAUCUGUGCAAGUAGAUCUAUGUUUAUAUAUAUAUAUAUAUAAACAUAAUGUUCACUGUAGAGGUGAAACACAUUAAGCAAUAAUGGCUGGAGACGGCUUGAAUGGUUAAAGAAGAAAAAUUUUAAUAUAAGUUUAACAUAACAGCAAAUGUACAACGUUUCGACAAGGUUUUGUCAUCACAUUAAGCAAUGCUUUUUUAUCACGUGAAAAUGUUGUCAUGGUGCCUAAAAGAAGGAGAAGACUUGCGAAAAAAUCACCGUCGCGUAUUUCUCUAGUUGAAUUUUUUUCUUACUAUCAGUAGCAUAGAUGUGGGAAAAAUAUUUGGAUAUGUAAGGAAUCCAAUUUUUAGCGAACGACUACCCCGAUAUUCUAAAAUGUCUAACAGGUCCAAUAUUUCUGACUCCUUUUUUUUAAUAUAUAUAUAAAAACACUUGAAAAUUAUUUAAAUCACUUAAAGUUAUUUGUGUAGAAAAUAAUCCCCAAACCCACUACGCCCCUUGGUGGAGUGGAGUAUUUAGGUAAGCUAAAAAAGAUAAAAUAAUUUGUUUAAUUUCGUCUUUAAAAUGCAUUGUUGAUAAUUUGUUGCUUUAUAAACAUCGCAUAUUUGACUAUAAGAAUUUUUUUUUGUUUAGUUUCAACCCAAAUUAAAAACAUUUUAUUACUACGCCACCGCGUAAUACAUACUAAACCCUUACUUAUGGUUUUGUUUUCGUUACUUUUGUUUGUAAUUAAGCACAAAGCUACAUAAUGGGCUAUCUGUGUUCUGCCCACCACAGGUAUCGAAACUUUCACGUUCUCUUAUAUGCCAGGGAAAACUUUUUAGAUGAGGUGGUAAGGAAACUUUUUUUUUACUUAAAUGUUUUUUAUUGUUGUUUUUUUAUGUUGCUUGUGGCUGAAGCUUCUUCUUUGACUAAUAUGAAAAUAUUUUAUCUUAAAAUACUGUUAAGAGUACAGUCUUUUAAAGGCUCAAAAUAUAUAAAAAUCUUUAAACUAAAAAUAAUUAUUGUGUUCCUUGUAGAAGAAUAGUGCAUCCGAGAUGAUGUCUUUUUGUCAUAUUUUGUAAUGAUCUGUUUUGUUCGUAGCAUGAAAAUACCGGUGCAUAUGUUUUAUAUGUUAAGUUUAGAAAAAUACAAAAAUGUUUGGUUACUCUACAAUAUAGCUUACAAGGAUUUUACUAGUCUAGCUUAUCAAACCGGUCAGAUUUUCUUCUUGUUUUUUGUCGUGGCCAUACUUUGAUAUGCCAGUGACGUACAAAUAUUUUAUUGAGCCAUAACACUUUUGUAUUUACUUUAUAAGGAUCACAUGAUUUGCCAUUUCAUAAACCUAUUUCUGCUUCACUCAUAAGUAACGUUGAGGGGUAGAGGGAAAUUGUGAAACAAACCAUCAUGUUAUCCUUCCUAAGUUUUUUAUAUGUGUAUCUAUAUGUCAUCGUUAAAAAUUCUAUUAUUUUUAGUAUCUACUGCUGACUUGUAUAUUGUAUGAUGAAGGUAUUUUUUAUGAUGAAGAAGAAAAAAUUACAUGACCAAGCAGAACAUAACGUAGAAGAAAGUAACAUUACAGCUUCGUUAUUGUUACUGUAAUUACGAUUAUUCAAUAAAUUUCAUAGUUAAAUGAUAACAUAUAAAUGCAAAUUCUUUACUGAACCUAAUUAGUUUUAAAGGCAAAAUUCACCAUUCUGUUUUAGUUGCAUAAAUAUCAUAAUCAAGAGUAACCUCUAAUAAAAACCAGUUUAACAACUAGUUAAAUCCUGUGCAGGUUUGCAAUUGGCAAUAAUAAAAACACCUUAGUAAUUAAAAAAAAAGGGGUAAUCGUAUUGCAUAUGUUAAUAUUUUCUCGAUUCUGCGCAUCACAGAAUCAAUUUUCCGUUUCUAGUUUCUUAUAUCCUAGUUUCUAGUUUAUCCUAUAAAACUGGUGAAUUUAUUCUGAUUGAUUUUUCACGACUUUACUAAUCUGUCUUAUUAUUUGUCAUACAUAUUAAUAUAUAUCUACUGCUGUUCAGGACAAAAAAGAAAAAUAACAUUUUAGAUCUCAUUGAGAAUAUCAUUUUAUGUGAAUGGAGGAAAUAAAACUUCAGAAUAGGAAAAUAUUCACCAGAUGGCGAUCCUUCUAGAUUAUUCUCCAACCUUGUUAGUUAUCUAUAUUUUUAAUUAUUAUUACUUAAAGAUUUGGGCGCCAACUUUCUUCAUACAAACCAAUGUUUUCAUGGUCUACAUAUACCUUCUUUGGCUCUGUUUUAAAGAGUUACAAAAAUUUAUUAUUGAAUUUAUGGUUAAUAAUAUGUUAUGCAUUUAUUCCAACACGUUCUUUCACGUAAAUAAGCUCAAUUUACAUAACGCUUAUCAUCAAAAAGUACCUUACCACGUAACAUAAACCUUUUUGUGUAUAAUUCUGUGGAAAUGUGCUUAUCACAUUCAUACAAAUGUUAGCAAAUAUGCCCUCUGAAAAUACAUAGCUUUAUAGGCUUCAUACUAGUUUCAUCACGUGUAUAUUUGUCAAUGAAAGUUUAUUAAUCUCUGAGGCAUCCUAAAGAGAUCGAAAUAGUCUCGUUUUUCGCUAUUGAAUUCAGCUUGGACAGUGCUUUAGUAUGACAGCUUUGGUAUACUUGCCUUGUACAAAUAAACGCUUUGUGAAUUCAUUCUUUGUUAGCAAAAUCAGUUUACGUACUCAUGAUAUCAUUUUGUAAUUUUUAUAUUUAAGCUCAUAUAGUUUAGUUGUCAUGACAACACCCCCACCCCCCUGCUAUAGCACAUUCGAUCUGUUUUAUUUGACAAUGUAACUGUUGUUUAAUCAACAUUAAGUUAACAUAAUACUGUUACCAUAUAAAUGUUUAGGAUGAGAUUGUAACCAUGUAGUCUGUAAGUAGUACAAAUGUCCUGGUGACACUCCCUCUUGUAACAUAUUUGGUCUGUUUUAUUUGAUAACGCUACGGAUGUUUAAUCAACAUUUAAACUCAAAUCGUUUUGUUAAAUUACUAUAGCAAUGUUAAAAGUAACAACUGUAGAUAUCUCGUUAUUAUAGUACAAAUGUUUUCUUCGUUGAUAUUUUGUCAUUUUUAUGCAAGUGUGUUUUAACAAAAGUUGGAAAUAAUAGUUAGCAUGGCAACGACCAUUUAUCUCCUAUCGUAUUAUUUUUGUGUCAGUAAUAAGACAAUUUAUGUAGCCUACUAGUUGUUCCACAAGUGGCGCUACCGUCUGUGUUUUUUCCCACAGUUUAUUACUGAUCAAGGUGCUGUACAAAUA